UAUUAGUCUGUGUCAUUUCAAAACUUUUCAAAACCAAAACAAACAUUGUGCUCAUAACUGGAUUAUAUCUUUAUUUGUCUAAAUACGAGAUUUCAAAGCUCCAAAUGGCUUUAAGCGGUCAAGUGGACUUUAAAAAAAGUUGUACCCCUAAUCAACGGCAUUCUACUUGUCCUGUGUUUUAGUUUGUUUCCAAAACUAUCUCUAUCUAAAUGUCUCGCAACGCACUGCCUUCGUUGAGUCAGCUGGAAGAGCUAGUAAGCUUUUUGGAAAGCAAACCAUGUUUGAUUAUGAUGGGCCAUGCCAUGAUCGUACUGCAAAUGCAAGCAGUCAUCAGGCACGAUCCGAAAACAACAGCCCAAACAGUGAGUGACGUAGUGGGUGUAUGAAAAUAUUGGAGCAGUGGUGUAAGUAUUGGAAGGACAAAAAGGAGCAGUUCAGAGGAAGUCCAGUUCAAUUGCAGCUGCGAGGCAACAUGAAGAAUUUGCCAGAACUCGGUAUAAUUGAGUUAGAAAUACAUUCCAUUAUGCGAGGAGAAUGUUUUGGAAUCUGAAUUUAGGUAAAUAAAUCCAUGU